CACGGAGAGGCAGCGCACUCUUUGCAAAACUUGGAAGUUGGGCAGCAGCUGACUGAUGAGCGCCGUUGGCUUUAAAUGGAGCAAGCGGCACCUCCGUAUAUACCCGGAAUCAUUAUGCUGGCCAAUUCCGAGCGCAGAUUUUGAAACAAAGCGAAAACCACCAUUUUAACACUCCAUAUAUAUAGUAACUCGAGUGCAAUGCCGAUGCCAUAUUUAUAUUUUGAUUGGAUAACUUAUAUAUGUAAGUAGCUUGUUGGACUUCACAGAUUUGCCACAGAUUUUAAUCGCCUUUGAUUUAUUGUUAUAAACUGUAGGGGAUUGUACCUUUCGGAGACCGGAGCCAGUGUCCGUUAAAGAUAAAAUGUCACGGUUUCCUUCAUAAAAUUAAUUCUGAAAGAAAAAAUGGAACCCGUGGCUCCUUACGCUCGCCUGACCUAACGUCAUUUUAAUUUCCAUCGAGGAGUCGAAAGUGUCACUGGCUUUGUGGUAGUCUGACAGUUGAAAAAUGAAACGCCGGGCCGGCCGUGGUGUGGCCACAAAAACUGGCUCCGCACCAGGAUCCUCCCCCGGCUUCCUGGCGAUGGCGCCU